rnacentral:rRNA from 1 species
AAAGGCGAAAAGAACCCCGGCGAGGGGAGUGAAAAAGAACCUGAAACCGUGUACGUACAAGCAGUGGGAGCACAGAGCAAUCUGUGUGACUGCGUACCUUUUGUAUAAUGGGUCAGCGACUUAUAUUCUGUAGCAAGGUUAACCGAAUAGGGGAGCCGAAGGGAAACCGAGUCUUAACUGGGCGUUAAGUUGCAGGGUAUAGACCCGAAACCCGGUGAUCUAGCCAUGGGCAGGUUGAAGGUUGGGUAACACUAACUGGAGGACCGAACCGACUAAUGUUGAAAAAUUAGCGGAUGACUUGUGGCUGGGGGUGAAAGGCCAAUCAAACCGGGAGAUAGCUGGUUCUCCCCGAAAGCUAUUUAGGUAGCGCCUCGUGAAUUCAUCUCCGGGGGUAGAGCACUGUUUCGGCAAGGGGGUCAUCCCGACUUACCAACCCGAUGCAAACUGCGAAUACCGGAGAAUGUUAUCACGGGAGACACACGGCGGGUGCUAACGUCCGUCGUGAAGAGGGAAACAACCCAGACCGCCAGCUAAGGUCCCAAAGUCAUGGUUAAGUGGGAAACGAUGUGGGAAGGCCCAGACAGCCAGGAUGUUGGCUUAGAAGCAGCCAUCAUUUAAAGAAAGCGUAAUAGCUCACUGGUCGAGUCGGCCUGCGCGGAAGAUGUAACGGGG